CUUUUGAUAUAAUGGCAGAUUCUACUUUCAAUAAUGCCAACGAUGCAUUCAAAGCCAUGUGUAAAAAAAUGAGACAAGAAGGAAAGGGAAAGAUUCAACAUAAACCAAGUAUUCAGAAAGGUGAUAUAGUCAAACUUUACAAUCAUCCUCGUGUAUUUAAUCCUAACAUACCUACUGGACUGCUUAACAAGGUGUUCUUUGAACUCGUGCUGUAUUUUUGUCGUAGGGGACAAGAAAAC
rnacentral:lncRNA from 1 species